rnacentral:lncRNA from 1 species
GCCCGCCGCUUCCGGCUCCUCCCCGUGGCGCGGGCGGGCGGGCGAGUCCGCCAUGGCCGCGCUGGCGGCCCUUUCAAACGCGGCAGCCGGCGGCAGCAGGGGGCAGGCCUGACUGGCUUUGUGCAACUCCUUGGAAAUCUGUACCAGCUUCUCUGAGCAAAAGUGUCUGGAAGUUCUCCAAGAUUUUAACCUCGAGAGGAUUACAUGUGCUGUUUGAAGACAAGUGGACUUGGACUUAAGGAUGUAGGAGCAAAUACUACUCUGUUCAUGAGGAAUGUGAAAAAUGCCUGGUUUCAAAGACUAAGGAGCUCAUCUCCUGUUGUUGUGCUGAUAUGGAGAGUUAAAUAGGUCGUCAGCAUUGGAUGGCAGGAAAUACAAUUAAGUUUAUAAAGUAUAAAGAGCAAAGGAAAACGGAGAAGUGGAUUGGCUGGAUGAGGUUGCAGGUGUCUCAGAACUGUCAGUGAAAAGUCACCUGGGAAGCUAAUAAGGUGAGUAAUAUUUGUUGUGUUCUGUGGAGAUUUGUGGUUUUCUGUGGUGGAUGUGUAUUCUAAGCAGUCACAUAAUGGGAUUUUG